UACGUAGGGUGCAAGCGUUGUCCGGAAUUAUUGGGCGUAAAGAGCUCGUAGGCGGUCUGUCGCGUCGGGAGUGAAAACUCAGGGCUUAACCCUGAGCCUGCUUCCGAUACGGGCAGACUAGAGGUAUGCAGGGGAGAACGGAAUUCCUGGUGUAGCGGUGGAAUGCGCAGAUAUCAGGAGGAACACCGGUGGCGAAGGCGGUUCUCUGGGCAUUACCUGACGCUGAGGAGCGAAAGUGUGGGGAGCGAACAGG
rnacentral:rRNA from 1 species